ACCCUGGUGGCUCAGAUGGUAAAGAAUCUGCCUGCAAAGCAGAAGACCCAGGUCCUAUCCCUGGGUUGGGAA
rfam:TPA: Bos taurus chromosome 18, whole genome shotgun sequence.